rnacentral:rRNA from 1 species
UGCGUAGGCGGAAUGAUCAGUCAGUGGUGAAAGUUUGUGGCUCAACCAUAAAAUUGCCUUUGAUACUGUCAUUCUUGAGUACAUUUGAGGUGGGCGGAAUGUGUUGUGUAGCGGUGAAAUGCAUAGAUAUAACACAGAACACCAAUUGCGAAGGCAGCUCACUAAACUGUAACUGACGCUGAGGCACGAAAGCGUGGGUAUCGAACAGGAUUAGAUACCCUGGUAGUC